rnacentral:rRNA from 1 species
AGCAGCCGCGGUAUACAGAGGGUGCGAGCGUUAAUCGGAUUUACUGGCGUAAAGCGUGCGUAGGCGGCUUCUUAAGUCGGAUGUGAAAUCCCUGAGCUUAACUUAGGAAUUGCAUUCGAUACUGGGAGCUAGAGUAUGGGAGAGGAUGGUAGAAUUCCAGGUGUAGCGGUGAAAUGCGUAGAGAUCUGGAGGAAUACCGAUGGCGAAGGCAGCCAUCUGGCCUAAUACUGACGCUGAGGUACGAAAGCAUGGGGAGCAAACAGGAUUAGAUACCCUGGUAGUCCAUGCCGUAAACGAUGUCUACUAGCCGUUGGGGCCUUUGAGGCUUUAGUGGCGCAGCUAACGCGAUAAGUAGACCGCCUGGGGAGUACGGUCGCAAGACUAAAACUCAAAUGAAUUGACGGGGGCCCGCACAAGCGGUGGAGCAUGUGGUUUAAUUCGAUGCAACGCGAAGAACCUUACCUGGUCUUGACAUAGUAAGAACUUUCCAGAGAUGGAUUGGUGCCUUCGGGAACUUACAUACAGGUGCUGCAUGGCUGUCGUCAGCUCGUGUCGUGAGAUGUUGGGUUAAGUCCCGCAACGAGCGCAACCCUUUUCCUUAUUUGCCAGCGGGUUAAGCCGGGAACUUUAAGGAUACUGCCAGUGACAAACUGGAGGAAGGCGGGGACGACGUCAAGUCAUCAUGGCCCUUACGACCAGGGCUACACACGUGCUACAAUGGUCGGUACAAAGGGUUGCUACCUAGCGAUAGGAUGCUAAUCUCGAAAGCCGGUCUCAGUUCGGAUUGGAGUCUGCAACUCGACUCUAUGAAGCUGGAAUCGCUAGUAAUCGCGCAUCAGCCAUGGCGCGGUGAAUACGUUCCCGGGCCUUGUACACACCGCCCGUCAAGCCAUGGAAGCUGGGGGUACCUGAAGUCGGUGACCGUAAAAGGAGCUGCCUAGGGUAAAACUAGUAACUAGGGCUAAGUCGUAACAAGGUAGCCGUA